AUUAGUGGCGGACGGGUGAGUAACGCGUAGGGAUUUAUCGUUGGGUGGGGGGACAACCCUGGGAAACUGGGGCUAAUACCGCAUGACGCCUUUGGGCCAAAGUCGCGAGGCGCCUGACGAGAAGCCUGCGUCCGAUUAGCUAGUUGGUGGGGUAAAGGCUUACCAAGGCAUCGAUCGGUAGCUGGUCUGAGAGGAUGAUCAGCCACACUGGGACUGAGACACGGCCCAG
rnacentral:rRNA from 1 species